UUUUAAAAUAAGUUUUUGAUAAUCUUUUUUUAUAUUACAUAAUUGGAACCCAUAAUAAUGAUUCAUUAAUUAAUUUUUACCUUUUGAAUAAUGGUUAUACUAAAAUUAUACAAUAUUGUAAUUCUCGAACUAAGAAGAGCUAUUUACUAACUUUUUAUUUUGAAACAAGAAGAUUAUGUGGAAAUAUAAUCCUUAGAUUAUUAAAUAGGAGCGAAAAACUUUCAAUUCUUAAGAUAACUAGAAGUUUAAUAAAAGCAUUAAGUGCUGAUUGAUUUAUACAGGGAGUGAUGAGAUUCUUUGUUAAUAAAAUUUUAAGUUUGGAUUUAUUUUUAAAAAUUGAUCUUGAAGAAGUUUUUAAUAAAAAAUAUUUGUAUUUUUAUAAAUUUAAGCUUUAUUAAACUUUCCUGUAUAGUUAGUUUCAGGAUUAACAAUGUAUAAAUGAGUAGUAUAAAAUUUGGUUUGUUUAGAGCACAAAAACAUUACAAUAAUUAUUUUUUUAAUUUAAUAGAAGGAACUCGGCAAAAAUGAAUUUCGACUGUUUACCAAAAACAUAGCCCUAGGAAAUAAUCUAGAGUUAGACCUGCCCAAUGUAGAAAUUAUUAAUGGCCGCGGUACUUUGACCGUGCUAAGGUAGCGUAAUCAAUUGUCUUUUAAUUGGAGUCAGGUAUGAAUGGAGUAACGUGGUUCAGCUGUCUCCUAGGAAAUUAUUUGAAAUUACUAUAGAGAUGAAAAAGUCUCUAGAUAAGAAAAAAGACGAGAAGACCCUUAGAGUUUUUCUAAAAACAAUUUAAUAAUUUUUUGCAAAAGUUUAGUUGGGGCAACUUGAGAAAACAUUUAUUAAUUUCUUUAAAAUACAAAUCGAUUAUUUUAAACUUGUAUAAAUUACCUUAGGGAUAACAGCAUUAUCUAGAAAAUAAGUUUGUGACCUCGAUGUUGGACUGGGAAACUAUAAGGCUAGCCGUUUUUUAGGAAAGUUCUGUUCGAACUAAAAUUCCCACAUGAUCUGAGUUCAGACCGGUGUAAGCCAGGUCAGAUUCUAUCUUUUUAUUAUAGAACUUUAGUACGAAAGGACCAUUUUCU
rnacentral:rRNA from 1 species